rnacentral:rRNA from 1 species
AUUGAACGCUGGCGGCAGGCCUAACACAUGCCAGUCGAACGGUAACAGGAAGCAGCUUGCUGCUUUGCUGACGAGUGGCGGACGGGUGAGUAAUGUCUGGGAAACUGCCCGAUGGAGGGGGAUAACUACUGGAAACGGUAGCUAAUACCGCAUAACGUCGCAAGACCAAAGAGGGGGACCUUAGGGCCUCUUGCCAUCGGAUGUGCCCAGAUGGGAUUAGCUAGUAGGUGGGGUAACGGCUCACCUAGGCGACGAUCCCUAGCUGGUCUGAGAGGAUGACCAGCCACACUGGAACUGAGACACGGUCCAGACUCCUACGGGAGGCAGCAGUGGGGAAUAUUGCACAACGGGCGCAAGCCUGAUGCAGCCAUGCCGCGUGUAUGAAGAAGGCCUUCGGGUUGUAAAGUACUUUCAGCGGGGAGGAAGGGAGUAAAGUUAAUACCUUUGCUCAUUGACGUUACCCGCAGAAGAAGCACCGGCUAACUCCGUG